rnacentral:rRNA from 1 species
GACGAACGCUGGCGGCAGGCCUAACACAUGCAAGUCGAACGAGUGGCGGACGGGUGAGUAAUGUCUGGGAAACUGCCUGAUGGAGGGGGAUAACUACUGGAAACGGUAGCUAAUACCGCAUACCAUCAGAUGUGCCCAGAUGGGAUUAGCUAGUAGGUGAGGUAACGGCUCACCUAGGCGACGAUCCCUAGCUGGUCUGAGAGGAUGACCGGCCACACUGGAACUGGGGCACGGUCCAGACUCCUAGGGGGGGCAGCAGGGGGGAAUAUUGCACAAUGGGCGCAAGCCGUAUGCAGCCAUGCCGCGUGUAUGAAGAAGGCCGUCGGGUUGUAAAGUACUUUCAGCGGGGAGGCGUUACCCGCAGAAGAAGCACCGGCUAACUCCGUGCCAGCAGCCGCGGUAAUUC